GCCUUGUUAGCUCAGUCGGUAGAGCAUGAGACUUUUAAUCUCAGGGUCACGGGUUCGAACCCCGUACAAGGCU
rnacentral:tRNA from 1 species